rnacentral:rRNA from 1 species
UACAGAGGCCUCAAGCGUUAGCCGGAAUCACUGGGCUUAAAGCGCGUGUAGGCGGAUCGUUAAGUGUCUUGUGAAAUCCCACGGCUCAACCGUGGAACUGCUGGGCAUACUGGCGAUCUUGGGCCACUCAGGGGCAACCGGAACAAGCGGUGGAGCGGUGAAAUGCGUAGAUAUCGCUUGGAACGCCAAAGGUGAAGACAGGUUGCUGGGGGUGUGCCGACGCUGAGACGCGAAAGCCAGGGGAGCAAACGGG